GCCCGGAUGGCGAAAUAGGUAGACGCAAGAGACUUAAAAUCUCUCAACCGCAAGGUUAUGCCGGUUCGAUUCCGGCUCCGGGCACCA
rnacentral:tRNA from 1 species